rnacentral:rRNA from 1 species
GACGAACGCUGGCGGCGUGCUUAACACAUGCAAGUCGAACGGAAAGGCCCUGCUUUUGUGGGGUGCUCGAGUGGCGAACGGGUGAGUAACACGUGAGUAACCUGCCCUUGACUUUGGGAUAACUUCAGGAAACUGGGGCUAAUACCGGAUAGGAGCUCCUGCUGCAUGGUGGGGGUUGGAAAGAUUCGGCGGUUGGGGCUGGACUCGCGGCGUAUCAGCUUGUUGGUGGAGUAGUGGCUUACCAAGGCUUUGACGGGUAGCCGGCCUUAGAGGGUGACCGGCCACAUUGGGCCUGCGAUACGGCCCAGUCGCCAACGGUAGGCAGCAGUGGGGAACAUUGCACAAUGGGCCGAAGCCUGAGACAGCAGCGCCGCGUGCGGGAUGACGUCCUACGGGUUGUGAACCGCUUUCGCCUGUGACGAAGCGUUAUUGACGGUAAUUGGUAAAGAAGCACCGGCUAACUACGUG